GUUUCCGUAGUGUAGCAGUUAUCACGUUCGCCUCACACGCGAAAGGUCCCCAGUUCGAAACUGGGCGGAAACA
rnacentral:tRNA from 1 species